CAGGGAUAUAAUUUCUAAUUAGUGGGGUAAUAGCUGCUUGAUCCAAGGAGACAUCUGACUGCUAUUUUGGGGUCAAGAAGGAAUUUUUUCUUAGUUUGUGGCAAAAUUGGAAGCGCUUCAGACCAGGUUUUUUUUGCCUUCUUUUGGAUCAACAGCAACAACAUUUGUGAGGAAGGCUGAACUUGAUGGACGCAAGUCUCUUUUCAGCUAUGUAAC